CGCGUUCGCGAUAUACGCAAGUCAUAACGACUCUCGGCAACGGAUAUCUCGGCUCUCGCAUCGAUGAAGAACGUAGCGAAAUGCGAUACUUGGUGUGAAUUGCAGAAUCCCGUGAACCAUCGAGUCUUUGAACGCAAGUUGCGCCCGAAGCCAUCUGGCCGA
rnacentral:rRNA from 1 species